rfam:Beta vulgaris subsp. vulgaris contig133770.1, whole genome shotgun sequence.
AGCUGAUGCACAUGACGGUCACCUCCCAGUUCCGUCGCAGCAGCUGUUCCCCUCUGGAGGUUCAAAAUCUCCACACUUUACGGGCCGCGGUUUUCACCGGCGGCCCUUUCU